AGGGACGGACGAGGAGUGACGAAGGGACGAGGGACUGGUGGAAGAGACAAAUUGUGAAGGUUUUGUGUAGCUCGACCUCACACCGGAACAAAAAGUAAAGAAAAUAUAAAGGAAUCACAAAAAGCAAGAAAGUGAACCAAAAAACAUGAAUUUAGUGAAAGAGUUAGAAAUGUUAAAGAGGAUGGUGUAUUUUGUUUGUAGUUGUUAUUUUCUUAGUAUUUAGAAGGGUUGCUAUAAGAAUAAAUGUUGUUAUUA
rnacentral:lncRNA from 1 species